AAAAAGAUAAGCUAAUUUAAGCUAAUGGGUUCAUACCCCACUUAUAAAAAUUUAAAUUUUUUUCUUUUUA
rnacentral:tRNA from 1 species